AUUGUGUUGCCCCCAUACAUGUAUUCGGGGCGAAGCUUGGCCUCCCGUGAGCCCAAACUCGCGGAUGGCUUAAAAACGAACCUCGAGACGGUUAGACGUCGCGACAAGUGGUGGUUACGAGGCCUUGUGCCUUUGAGCUUUGCGUGUCGCUGCCGUCGUCUGUCUCUCUCGAAAUUAAAACCCGAAYGGAGCAUCCUCGAUGUUUCCAGCAUYGCGACCCCAGGUCAGGCGGGAAUACCCGCUGAGUUUAAGCAUAUCAAUAA
rnacentral:misc_RNA from 1 species